CACGUAGGCGGCCCGUCAAGCAUCUUGUGAAAUCCCUCGGCUCAACCGAGGAAUGGCUGGGUGAACUGGCGGGCUUGAGGCAGGUAGGGGCACGUGGAACUCUUGGUGGAGCGGUGGAAUGCGUAGAUAUCAAGAGGAACGCCGGUGGCGAAAGCGGCGUGCUGGGCCUGUCCUGACGCUGAGGCGCGAAAGCUAGGGGAGCGAACG
rnacentral:rRNA from 1 species